UACGUAGGGCGCAAGCGUUGUCCGGAAUUAUUGGGCGUAAAGAGCUCGUAGGCGGCUUGUCGCGUCGUCCGUGAAAACUUGGGGCUCAACCCCAAGCUUGCGGUCGAUACGGGCAGGCUAGAGUUCGGUAGGGGAGACUGGAAUUCCUGGUGUAGCGGUGAAAUGCGCAGAUAUCAGGAGGAACACCGGUGGCGAAGGCGGGUCUCUGGGCCGAUACUGACGCUGAGGAGCGAAAGCGUGGGGAGCAAACGGG
rnacentral:rRNA from 1 species